GUGAGUGCUAACAGAACUACUGAAUCGUAUUUAACUUCGAGAAAAUCACAUUUUGUGGAGAAAAUCAAUAGAUGGAAAUCAUAACUGAUCCAUCCACCCGAACCUGCACAUCCAGCUUAUUGAGCUUAAUGACGUCGUAACCUUGAUGAGAAACCUUGGCUGAAUUCGACGUCCUCUUAAGUCGUGUGUCAUUCCUCAUAUCUACGCAUCCGGAUGGCUGGAGGACCAUACAUUUCUUAUCCGUUCAAAUAAAUUCGUCAUCAUCAUGUUGGGAAGAGUUUGCGCCGGACACCUUCAGGAAACACAUACAAACAAGUUAGAGGACUUUACAUUUUUAGCAAACACAACCUUACGAAUAUUGUUCGAAAAAAUAUUUCAGUAUUUGUAUGUAUGUAAGAAUCUAUGAGAUUGAAUUCUCUUACCGUCAUUGGUCACGAACUUCAAUUUUAAGAAGUAACUACUUAAAUGAACCAACUUCGAGAUGGUACUUUUAUUAGAUUUGGGUAUGUACACAUACAUAUUUAAGCUAGUUAACUGUUAGGGAGAUAUCCUUACUAUUUUUACAUGAUUUUGUUUAAGACAUAGGUACAAAUUAUACAAAUUUGGAAUGACGUUGAUCAGCUAAUCUUCAACUUAUGUUGUUAUUAUAAUUAAGCCUACAAUAAUUCAGCCUAUUAUAAUUAAGUCAAUAUGUAUAUGUGUCAAUAAUAAGGGUCUUCAUGACAGCAACGUUAGCAAAAAAUAUAGCAAGCAAUUUGUAAGAAAUUGGCUUUAAAACUCGUUGAUGGUGAAACAAUUUUAACAGGUGGAUGGAUAAGCAUAUGUGCUUAUCCAUCUA